rnacentral:lncRNA from 1 species
CCGGUGCCUGGGGUCUCUGGAGGGGGUACUCAGAGUAUCCGAGGAGGAGACUCCUGGAUGCUAACAGAGCCCCCAGUUAGGAGCAGUCCGCGAGACAGUUGGUAACAGUGCUGGCCUUGCCCGGGCGCCGGAAGGUUCCGUGAGGCCCAGCAAGUCCUGACUUGGCACAGGGCCCAGCACACGGGCAUCAAGGUAGGUGGCAACAAAAACGAAGAUGCCAGGACCCCAGCCUUUGAGAUGCUCAUAGCCGAGUGGGGACACAAGACUUGGAGGAGGCGCUCCUGAGAGUUAGAUGUGAAAAGCAGCACCCUAGAGGCGUCCACCAGAGCUGAGGGCACCGGGAGAGAGAGAGGUGGG